rnacentral:rRNA from 1 species
AACGAACGCUGGCGGCAUGCCUAACACAUGCAAGUCGAACGAGACCUUCGGGUCUAGUGGCGCACGGGUGCGUAACGCGUGGGAAUCUGCCCUUGGGUUCGGAAUAACAGUUGGAAACGACUGCUAAUACCGGAUGAUGACGUAAGUCCAAAGAUUUAUCGCCCAGGGAUGAGCCCGCGUAGGAUUAGCUAGUUGGUGGGGUAAAGGCCUACCAAGGCGACGAUCCUUAGCUGGUCUGAGAGGAUGAUCAGCCACACUGGGACUGAGACACGGCCCAGACUCCUACGGGAGGCAGCAGUGGGGAAUAUUGGACAAUGGGCGAAAGCCUGAUCCAGCAAUGCCGCGAGAGUGAUGAAGGCCUUAGGGUUGUAAAGCUCUUUUACCCGGGAUGAUAAUGACAGUACCGGGAGAAUAAGCCCCGGCUAACUCCGUG